UGCAGCCUUCAGAGCCAUCUAGGUGAUGGUGCUGUCUUCACCUUGUGAUCUCCUCGGCUGAACAAAUAUGUCGGGAUCGGUCCUUUCAAAUCCAGCCCCAGUUUGAACACAGCCCUCCAGUACAUCUGGGUACAGUCAGAUCCUUCCUCCCUCAGCCUUCCCAUCCGUAUAACAGGGGGAAUAAAAUGCUCAAAUGUCAGCCUCUGAACGGACUAUCAGAGACCAAGGCAAGGACCAACUCGUCCUUCAUCUCUGUGCAUGGGUGCCCACAUACACAUAACCAUGGUGCUCUGCACUUGAUGCAUUGUCUUCCUACAGACGCAGGGCAAACUCUGCUCCUCCCUUCUGGCCUGGGUUGCAAUGAUGGAUUAAGUAGGGCAGAGUAGCGGGAGUCUUGGUGGAAACAGUACAUUUGAAAUGAACCCAUGCAGCAGGCGGACAAGUUUGCUUGUAUGUAGAAGAGAUUGCCGGUGACGGGGAUUCUCCAGCCAGGAUCUCUGAAUUGAGCAAUGAGAAGCUGCCCUGUUUUGCCCCAUGAAGGAAGCCAGGAUGGUGGCUGGAAGGAGCCAGAGAUGAGAAGAGGGAGAGUGGACAGGAGAGAGAAAGCUCAGGCAUUGCAUCAUCCUCACUUCUGCUCCCCUGCUGUGAAUAAAGGACUUGUUUUACAGGCAUUUUUAAUGAUUCCAAGGGAAAAUGAGACUCAGAUGGCCAGUGAUGAACCCAGCCCAAAGCUGCCCCGACUUGGAGAGGUUGCCACUUUGCCUGGAAGCAUUACAUUUCCUUGGUGCAGGCUCAGUAGUUCCCUUCCAUGCUGAACAGGAGGAAGAAAUUUCCACCUGCUGGACCAGCACAAGCCAAGACCCAAACUGAACAAAGAACGGCCAGUGUAUUCAAGGAUAUGUAAAUCCUCCUCCUCCAGCCUUGGGAAGUUUAUUGCCCUCAACAAAGUACACAGUGUGGUUGUCAUUCCUGAGGAGCCCAGGUGGGCUUUUAUGUGACAAGGGAAAAUUACCCAGGCUGUUCUCCAGAAGGCAAAACAGACACUUGGUAGCAGCAAGUGCUGGUGCAUCUGGAAAUACAGUGAGAAGCGGGCUGAAGGGAGGAGACCACCUACUCAUCCACAAAACAGUCUCCAAGCAUUUUAAAAGGAAGGUAACACUGCACAUUGGAAAACUUCACAUCUUGAGGCUUCAGAGACUAGUUCAAAGCCAGCCAGAGGAGCCAAGGCCACCACCUCACCAUUAAAUGUCGAGUUAAAGGGAAACACAAUACAUCACCUUCCUCGUGGGCUGCCAUUCAGCCAAGAGUAACAGAGAUUAGCCUUCAAUCACACGGGGGCUGGAGCUGAAGGAAGCCUUCCCGAGGACAUGCUGGAGAAACAUUUUCAUUAGUGGAGGAGAACCUGACAGAGAUGAAGUGCCCCUUCACCUCGACUGCCGGACCUCUCCCCUGCCUGGCGUUAACAGGACAAGGAGAUGCUAACCGAGGAGCUGGUGCCAGCUGCAACACUUUAAGUGCUGUCUGCAUCCAGAUACUGUUCUCUCUUUGGGGCUGCCUGCUAUACUGCAUUAACAUCACAUCUCUGCGGUGAAGAAAUGAGGAGGAUACAACACAGAUCAAAAUUAAAUUCUCCUCAGAGUUGCCCAGAAGGAUGGAUGACUGCAAGGAAAGAUUAUUCUAUGGCUCUGGAAAAGGAAGACCUACUUGCUUAGUAACCUGGUGAUGAGGUACUGGCUCUGCUUCAUGCAGACGCUGGAAGCCAGGGGAGAUUUCGGGUUACAGAGAGGGCUGGGCAGAGUUUGCCACUUUCUCAGCUCCUUUCCUGUAUCACUGUCAACUUAGAUUUCUCAUCAAAAACUUGAUGUUAUGGCUGGCGGUGACAAUAACAGAACGCCACUGGCAGAGGUGAAAUCUUUCUCUCUGUGAGGGUACUUCUUCCUUUCCCUUCCCCUUGGCUUACAUCAAGAACCACUGGCUCCCAGUGCCAAGCAGGCCAUGCAUACAUGCUGCCCAGGGGAUGAUGUAUACUGUGCUGAGCAUCACUUUUCUUGCUUUUUCGGUGAACAGCUAUGUGUCAGUGAUGCCUUUUGCUGUGUGGUGACCUGGGACAGAGGGUGAACCGUUGUCACUGUCUGAGACAAAUCGGGGCCAUUGGGAGCUGCCAUGUUUGCCAUCAUGGGGAACAUUGCACAGAGUGGUCCUUUGCCAUACUGGCACCCUUGUACCAGCAGGAGGUCUGCCAGGGAUGUCCCUUCAGAGCCCUGGGGGCCAUCCAUGUUCUUUGGGGGCCAGGCCCGAACUAAGUCAGGGUCUGGGGGGCAGACAAGCGUGUUAAUGGUUAAUGUUCUCUGCAGGCUGUCUCUCACCUCUAAAUGGGAGCUAAUCUCGUAGAAGAGUGCCUGUGCCCACACUACUCCAGCAGCCCCUCUGCUAGCCUUCUGUCCUCAAGGGCCGGUUCAGCAAAGCGUUAGUGCUGAUUUGGGUCCAGCUUUCGCUUUCCAGCUGCUUACAGAGGUAGCUGCCGCUGCCAGGCCACACUAGAAAACAGAGGCAGGGGACAGGCCUCUUUGUGCACUUAAAGAUCCAAGAGUUUAAUCUGAUUCUGGUUCUCUAUUAGCCCUGAUCCUGUCUUGCAUCUUUUCCGGCUGAUGCCUGAACCUGUCUUUGGUAGUUUGGUUUUUUUUUUUUUUUUUUUUUUCUUUUUCCCUUACCUUAUGAAAAAUGGCUUUGCCAUCUGCAUCUGUCAGGAGUCCGCCGAGCCGGUGUACAGCUUGGUGAAUAUACAAAUGUGCGGUUGGAUCGUGGCCCCCUCUGACAGGCCGGAGAUGAAUACCAAACGUGCAGGGAGAAGAGUGUGUUCCCUUCCUCCGCUGCUGCUGCCUCUGAUGGUUGUUUUUCUUAUCCCAAGGAGGUGAGAGGAUCGCCUUUGGGAGCAGUGCUUCCUUCUGCUCCUGUUCCGCCUUGCCAAGGAUCAGUUGUCUGCCAUCCAUCAUCAUCAGAGUCCUCUCCUCACUCCCACAUCUCAGCUGCUGAUAGGAAUGCCAGGGAAGGGGUAACUGGUUUACCCUGCUUUUUCCUACCAUCCUUUACCCUCUCCCUUUUGCAUCCCACCUUCUAGGCCCAUUACAAGGCAAUCAGCAGGCUGGGGCUCGAGGACACUUGCCUUCACUUGCUUGUCUAGGUACUUUUUAAGAGAGGUAAGGAUGAGGUAGAGGGGAGGGGAUUGUUCAACCUUACCCAAGUGGCUUAAAAGGUAAUUUUGAAUGGAAUUUUUCAGCAGUGUUGUGCAUGACUCCACAUAAGAUGUGCUGAAAGCACCCAGGCACUCCUGCAUGUCUCGGCCUCACUGUGUCCCCUUUACCUGCUGUAGGUAGGAGCCAGCGCUAUGGGGCUCUGCAGGGAGGAAUGCACCAGCUAUGAGAUCCUCAGUUGCUGUAACUCUGCAGGGUCACUCAGGUACCCAAAGGGAGAUGACAACCUGCCUUGACACCCAUGGAUUUUUUUCACCUCCUCCUGCCUCUUGGUUUUCUGCAGUCUGAGUCGCAAGCUGCUUCCCUGGCCUCGAUGUACUAAGAACCUUUCAGCCAGGUAGGCUCAGAGGAGCAGGCAGGCAGAAAAUGAAAUGAAUCUCUCCAUGCUCUUGCCACAGGUAUCUGGUCAAGGAGGGGAAGUUUCUGGGAGGGCAGACCCCCACUUUGGCAGGAGGAGAGAGCAGGCAGCUUGAGCUGAGCUGUUUUUUUGACAAGCAGAUGGAUGUUCAGCGGGGGCCCAACAAAACCCUCUUGCUUCAAGCUAGCUGUGCCUGAUUCAGGAUGCAGCGACCAUCCCCUCCUGCCACUGGCUCCCAGGAGGAGCCAGCUGCGUGCUUGCAACCAGACAAGGUUGUAGCAGGAGCUGUUGAGCAGCAAGGAGGGAGGAAGGCAAGCGAUGGCAGAUUCCUCUGGCGUCUCCACACCGCAGGGCUCUUGGCGAGCGAGCGCUCGUCUGCUUUGAAAGCUCUUAGUGCUCCUGCAGGUGGGAGCCAAUUUGUCUGCUUUCCUGCCCAGGUGCCAUCUGUUUGUAGGAUUGCCUGUGUCGUGGAUGAGCGUGACGGGGAUGGUGAAGGGAAGGGGCUGCCGGGGUGGGAGAGAUGAGCCUGAAACUUUCCUUGGGUAACUUCAGCACUUCUGGCUGCCGUUGCUCCCUCUCCCUUGCACUGAGGCAGGGAAAUCACAGCCUGUCAUUUGCUGUUCCUGGAGCGUGAUAGGGAGCCGAGGCACCGCUAAUAGCAAGCUAUCAUUUUAAUGCUAAUUUCCUACUGUUAGCUUAGGCUGGGGGAGGCUCAGCCUGUGUGGAGGGGAGUCAUUAGCAGAUGGAGAAGGGGGGGAUGUGUGGGGAUUGUUCUGCACCUCAAGAAGGGACUUCCAGAGGGCAGAUGAUUAACCACCACUGGGAAAACUGGUAGCAGAUGCUGGGGUCAGUCUCUGGUGGAUGUGGGAGGGAGGGAGGGGGACACUUUGUUCCAAGUCAUCUUCCUGUGGGGAUUUCUCGAGUGCUUCAGGCUUUGGCUUGAAUUUGGUGUUUGCUGCUUGUUGCCAGCCUCCAGUGUGUUGUGACCCCGGGGAUGAUCAGAGCGCUGGCAGGGCUGGAGCUGGUGGCAUAGUCAUCUCUUUUUUUAACAAAGGAGCCAAGCAGGGUUGGGUUUAGCUAAUGUCUUGUUGUGAGGAGCUCCCCAAUUCAGGAGCAAUGGGCUUCAAAGCAGGGAAACUUCUUGAGAUACACAAGGGCCAAAAAAGACACUUGCCCUUUUGCCAUGGGAACAAGCUUAGCUGCCCCAAGCUGGAGAGCUGGAGGGAGAAACCAGUGGCUGAGUUUGGAGUCAUGAACAAAACUGAAUCAUUUCCCUGCCCUUUCCAGAGGUGGGAGUUCCCACAUCCAACAUCUUGGUCAGUCUCCUCUAGCCAUGCUUACCAAAUGGAAGAGCCUGUGCUGCUCCCCAGGCAGGUGUAGUUGCCUGGGAGCUCCUGGGGAGUAUGAAGAGAAGUGACUGGCUGUAGUAGGAGUGUAGGGCCCGUUUGGGAUUGUGUUGGCAGCAGUCAGAGAGGUUCCUCUACCAUUUCUAGACCUGCUUGGAAACCUUGGGACUGAAGGGUCGUGAGCUCAGAUGCUGUGCCUGGCUGGGAAGAAACUGGUUGCCUACUGCUGAGGGACAGCAUUGUUUUAAGGCAAGGGCCCAGUAGUCUCCUGGUCUGUGGUGUGACAUCUCCUGAAGACCCACCAACCUGUGCUGAUCUAGACCAUUAGCUUCAUCAUUUCGUAUGGAAGCAUACAUGGAUUUUUUAAAACCACUUAAAGGCCAUUUUAAAACUCUUUUCGCAUCUAGCAGAGAGGCAAAGGAGGGACAAAAGUGGCCAUGGUAAAGGGAAGGAAAACCAGCAACUGGUUAAAUGGUAAAGGGAUGGGAAGCCAGGAGGCCAUCUUGCCAGGAGGACAUUAGCACAAGGCUACAUUAGGAGAGCAGCAUUGCUCUCUGUGGUUACCAACUAUCAGAUCUGCCCCGGGGUGGAGCAUGACUCACUGCUUUUUAGGGAGCUAUUUCCAUCUGAAAAAAUGGCUCCUAUCUUUUCUAGAGCCUCUUCCCUGCCUUGGGUGAGGAGAGAAAGAAAAAAGUGAAGGGCUACUUUUUCCUAGCUGGGGAGAACCAAACAAACUUUCCCUCAAGCAGCUGAGCGAGCAAAUCAGUGCCUCACAUAUUCCCAAGAAUAAUACAAUCAAGUAGUUGAGGGGAAAAAAAAAUAAUAAUAAAAUAGCAUUGCUUUUCCCAGUUCAGCACUCUGAAUAAUGAGCCUACAAGCCAGAGGGAGAGCUCCCAGGAGAGGCGCCUGUGUACAGGAGAUGGACACAACAAGUGUCUCGGAUGGGCCAAUAUCUGAAGCGAUCUCUCUCUAAUUUUCUACAUCAGUGAGAACACAAUGCGGUGCCAUCAAUCAUAGUCAACCUCCCCUCAGAAAGCCACCUCCUGCCUUGCUGUACUGCGGUGUCCCCCCUCUGCUUCUGCCCCUGGCUGGGGACUGCAGGCGUCCCGGCCAGCAGUGCCUGCAGGCACGUUCUCUCCCGGGGCGGGGGGCGGGGGGGAAGGGGUUUCUUCUUUGUCACGUUUGAGCCUGCUUGUGUUUCUGCUUUUCUCCUUCCUCCACCCCUGGCGUCUGUUCCUCACCAGUGCUUUAUUUCAGACUGCUUCUCCGCUUCCUGGAGUCGGAAAAGGCCAAAUACUCCUUUUAUCCCUGAUGAGGAGAAGGUGUGGAGCUGCCUGUCCUGGGCUGAAACCCCUGCACGCUGCCUGGAGGAGAGAUGGGAGUGGUUUUGGUGCCUGUACUGCUCAACUGGGGAUGGGGAGGUUGGACUUUACAGCUCCCCUGAGGCUGCUUCUGCAGUAGUGGCCAUCAGGGCAUGUUCUGGGGAUUGCUGGUGCCUGAGCUGGCUCCUUUGCCCCAACCCCAGCUCUGGGCAUGGAGCAGCUAAGGGAGCCAUCUUUCAUGCUGGACUGGUGGUGCGAUGCAGCAGCUCUUGGUCUCUUGGUUUCUCCAUUUGUGAAGUGCUCUGCUCCUUCCAGGCUUGGCCAUGUUUCCACCAGACCCAAGGGCACCUCUUUGGCAGGAGCACUGGUGGUGGGUGUCUUCCUGAGAAGGCCCAGGCCAGACACACGCCUAAGCUGGCCAGAAGGCUGAUGGGACACAGAUCUGUGCUCAGGGCUGUGUCUUCUGCUGGGGCGUGGACACAGCUGGUGGGUUUGAUGGCUCUUGCUUCUUCAUCUCUCUUACGUGCUAGAUUGGGUGCUCUUGCUCAAUUGCAGUGGCUCUUGGACCUACCAAAACCUGGCUAACUGCUGCCAGCUGUCAUGACACAAAAGUAGUUUGCAGUCCCAUUUCUGGCUCCAUGGGCUCAAACAGCAGCUAGAACCAAGGACCCGUGCUUCUUUCUUGAACACAGCCCUAGACAGAAGCAUCUUCUGAAUAAACCUGUGCAAUUGCCACUUGCCUCUCAGCCUCUUACGCUGCUUUCUGAGAACUGCCAAGGAUCCUUGACCUCUCUUUCAGGCAUGGUUUCCUGCAUGAUCAACCCUGCUCCAGUGUUGUGGAGUUAUUGCUGGCUUCUGUAAUAGCUGCUUUGUUUACUUCCCAAAUGCCUGCCCUUUCUGUAAUAAGCUAUAAUUCAUCUUGGUUUAUACAGUGCUCAGAGAUACCUGAGCAAGGAAGGUGUGCCAUUAAACCACCUUCUGGGCUGCUCUCUGGACUGGGGUUGUUGAUCUCCUGGAAAUGUAAAACAGGGAGGACAAGGGGGACGAGAUUGGAAUGGGGAAUCAUUACCUAGCAGAGUAAAAGGGGCUGACUGGGUUGGAAAGUGCUGGGAGCUGACACACAGGUGCAGAUGAAUGGCUAUGGCAGGCAGGUAGGGUGGAGAGAUGAAAGAUGUUUUUUUAAAGCAUCUGCUUUCCUCUCUUCCUCUGCUUUAUAACCUGUUUUUAUAGAGACUGCAUGAGGAACACAUUUUUUUAUUAGCAGCUUGGGAGUGAAGAGUAAUAAAGAUUAAUUUUUUAAAUAA